GCUAAUUUGGACUGGAGCAAGAGUUUCAGAGUGGUGUACUUAAAUCUUAAAGAAGAGUUCUUUGGUGUUCUUGAUGGUUUGUGUCCAAGCUUGAUGGAAAUCAACGGUGGGUUGAUGAUGGUUUGUGUAAAUGGAAAUCAACGAAUUUUAAUGAGGGAGACUCCCUCAUAGACAUUCCCGUGAGUAUCCUCUGCUAUGAGGACACCAGCACUGCAAGCACAGCAUCGCCACAACAAACCUCCUCAAGAGUGGGGAUCAUCCUAGAAGGCAGCCUUGUAAUGGAAGCACUCACCAACGUACCUCAGGCAAUUGUUGGCAAAGACACAUUUUGAUAAUUUUAUUAAAACAAGGUCUUACUGUUAUUUUGGAUUUGCAUCUGGUAUUUCACACAGCAUCAUUGUUAAUACAUAUUUGUUGCUUUGUUGUGUAUCUAAAUAAAAUAAAUGAAAUGUA